UACGAAGGGGGCUAGCGUUGCUCGGAAUCACUGGGCGUAAAGCGCACGUAGGCGGAUCUUUAAGUCAGGGGUGAAAUCCUGGAGCUCAACUCCAGAACUGCCUUUGAUACUGGGGAUCUCGAGUCCGGGAGAGGUGAGUGGAACUCCGAGUGUAGAGGUGAAAUUCGUAGAUAUUCGGGAGAACACCCGUGGCGAAGGCGGCUCACUGGCCCGGUACUGACGCUGAGGUGCGAAAGCGUGGGGAGCAAACAGG
rnacentral:rRNA from 1 species